rnacentral:lncRNA from 1 species
GAUGUCAAACAUUUCUCAUGAAUUUUGUUACAUACUUGUACUUCUAAGAAUUGUGUGCCUGGGUUCUCUGUUUGCCCGUGAUUGUUUUCUUUAUUGAUGUUUUAAGAGGAUUUGCGGCAUUAAGCCUGUUAACUCUUUCUCCAUUCUCUUUCAUAUUUUAACCAAUUUAUCACUUCUCUUUAUAUUUUAUGUAGGAUGUUUGGAUGUUUUAGAAUAACUCACUCUUCUGUUAAGAUCACUUUUAUUUACUUCAUGUUCAGAAAAUUCUUGCUCAUCCAGGCUCUAGUUAAAUAUAUGCCAGUAUUUUAUUCUAGAUACUUUUGGAUUCUUUUUUUUACAUUUAAUACACUGGGGUUUUAUUUCAGUGUAUGAGGGAGGGAUCAAACUUGAUUAUUUUCCCCCCUUUUAGCCACAUUUUCCAAUUUUACUUUCAGAUAAUUUAACCAUUAACCAUUUCUUCCUGGUGAUUCCUUUCUGAGAUUUAAAUUUUUAAAAUAUGUAUGAUAGAUCUCAGGACUAUCUGUUUCUACUUCAUUGGAUGAUCUACAGAAUCUUGUACCACCAGCACCACACUGUUUUAAUUAUUGUAUCAAGAAUAAUACAGUUAGAUAUCUCUUAGGGACAGUAUCUCCUUGAUAUUCUUUAAGCAGUUCUUAACUCUUCUCAUCCUUUUUUUCCCUUCCAGAUGGACUUUCAUCAAAUUCAAAGAAAAAAAAAAGAUUCCACUGGGAUUUAAUUCAGAUUGCAUUUCACCGAAAAAUUACAAGGAUUAACAACAAGGAUUAAUAGCAUUGCUGCAUUCAUUAUGGCAACCCAAGAGUUUGAGAAGUCGUCAGUGUGUAGUCCUGUUACCUUAAUUGUUUCUGAGUUAUGGGUUGAAUUUAUUUUGAAAUUUCAAAAAACUUCAAAGGGUAGUAUGUUAUUUUUGUGUUAAUCAAAAUGAACAAUGGGUUUCAAAAGCUUGAACAACGUCAUCUUGGGAGUGCCAAAUGAAUAGGAUGUCCUGUAUGUCAGGAGCAUGCCCACACUUUUCUUGCUAGGGUGAGUUUAUUGUCCCUGAUGAAUCCCAGGAGUACUAGUCCAUGAUGCUCUUAUUCCCUGGUGCUUUAACAUGCAGUGCAGCCGGAGUUGGCCUGAACUUUAGGAAAUGAGGUCGUAAGUCGAAAGAACAGGGAAUUGAGAAAGCACACAGAAGCAGCCAGGGCCAACAUUUUCCCCUAAACAAGCCAAUCAACAAAAAGCAAUGCCAAACAAGCCCCUUUGAAACUUUCAAAGUCCUCAUCCUAGUACCUUCCUAGCACUCUAGGAGACAUCUUUCAGCUGUUGAUUUAUGAACGCUGAGAGGCACGUGGAGGAAUUAAUGGAGGUAAAUAUCUAACUUAAAAAAUCUUCAGUAGGCAUUUUUAGACAAUCCUCCUUGAAAGAAAAGUGUGGAUGCUCUGUGCGUGUAUUGACUGCACCUGCAGGGGUAUAGCUGGAGAACACCCAGUGAGCAUCUUCAGGAGCCAAGUCACGCAGGGGCUUAGCUCUCAGUCCAUUGCGACAGUUGCCAUGAUGCCUUCUGACCAUUAAACACUUUGAACUCUUUUCUCUCAUCCUCUGUUAUUUGCUUUGGACCCAUAACAGACUCAUUAGUUAAAAAUAAGAAGCAAAGGUAAUCCUGAUGUUGAAUUACAAGUUAAUGCAGAGCACAGACAUGAAAAUAAUUCUAUGGGUUUGCUGCAGCAUAAUCCUUGCCAGAUCUCCAAGUUCCAUUCAUCUAAUGAAAAGCCUUAGUUUGAAGAACAUUUUGGAGAACUCUUACAUCAAGAGGUCUCCAGUACCUCAAAAACCAGUGUUCAAAAGGAAAAUGCACACGCGCAUUUCAGGGAGGUGGGAAUAAAAGCCUUCCUUUGCGCAGCGUGUUACAUGUGGAAAUGUGGAACGCACACGAUCAUUCUUACUGUUAAAAAACCCCACAAAGAUUAUAAAAAUAUGUCAGUUUUUUUUUGGUGCAAAAACUCACACGAUUAAAAAUAUUAUACUAUGAAAGC